GUGGGGAAUAUUGCGCAAUGGGGGAAACCCUGACGCAGCGACGCCGUGUGAGGGAAGAAGGCUUUCGGGUCGUAAACCUCUGUCAGAAAGGAAGAACCUCCCAAGUCCGAAUAGGGCUUGGGACUGACGGUACUUUCAAAGGAAGCACCGGCUAACUCCGUGCCAGCAGCCGCGGUAAUACGGAGGGUGCAAGCGUUAAUCGGAAUCACUGGGCGUAAAGCGCGCGUAGGCCGCUUUGUAAGUCGGACGUGAAAGCCCUCGGCUCAACCGGGGAACUGUGUUCGAUACUGCGAGGCUUGAGUCCUGGAGAGGGUGGCGGAAUUCCGGGUGUAGGAGUGAAAUCCGUAGAUAUCCGGAGGAACACCGGUGGCGAAGGCGGCCACCUGGACAGGUACUGACGCUGAGGCGCGAAAGCGUGGGGAGCAAACAGGAUUAGAAACCCGUGUAGUCC
rnacentral:rRNA from 1 species